CUGGCUCAGCGGCAGAUUCUGGCUCAAGGAGAGACUGUCGAAACCUUGCUCUUCCAUGAUUUAUUUCCUCUCCUUUCCUGGCUGAGAGAAAAUGAGGAAGAGCCAAGAUGCAGGAGUGCUGUGGGGAUCAACAGGAAGCUGGAUGACGUCACCUCUCAUCACCCUUCAAAUGUCCUUUUGAUGAUUAGAUAAACGUCGACACCACUGGGGGGCUGAGCUGCAGAGAAACGUGGCAUGCUGCUGGCAUCUUGUCCUGAACUGCCAAGAGUCACAUGCAGAGAGUACACACGGUUCUCGUCCAUCUCUCUGGGUGCACGGCGGCUCUUGAUGCCACUCUGGGGCUUAUUUGGCUAUUUGACCUUUGAGUGAAUGUGUUGAUGGUGCCAGUGAGUCCACUAAGAACUCGAUCCCACUGGCACUGCAUACAAAAGUGAGGUCUAACAGAACAGGACCAGGGUGGAGGAGGAAAAGAGAAUUUGCAUGAUUAAUGUCGCAGCAGAAACUGUUGUGUGUAAUUUGAUAUUGUCUCGUAGCGUGUCAUGAGGAAGGCCAAGAGACUGUGUGUGUGUGUGUGUACGUUUUGAAUUCUUUCCAGUGAUUACCAAGGCCGCAAGGGUACAGACCACAAUGACUGCAGGCGCACAGCAGAGAGCUACACUGAGCUGUAUGCUGUAGACGUUUAAGGCCAGGCCAGCCAGGGCCAUGAUAAAGCCUGAGCUGCAUGCAGGCUUUAGCACCAGUGUGCUGUCAUAAUGCUUUUGUAGGAGUGACUACGGUAUGUGGCCUGUAUUAUUCACUGCAGCAUUUGUCUAUUUACCGGUCCAGCCUAAAUUAUUGUUUUAAUAGUUGCUUUUAAGCCAUUCUUUAUUAGUGGGGUUUCUUUCUGUUUCCAAUCAAUGAAAUCAUAUUACAAUUGACGAACCAACUGAUCAACAAUCUUUCCCAUUAUUAAAGAUAUUAAAAAAA